rnacentral:rRNA from 1 species
ACGUAGGGUGCGAGCGUUAAUCGGAAUUACUGGGCGUAAAGCGUGCGCAGGCGGUGAUGUAAGACAGAUGUGAAAUCCCCGAGUUCAACCUGGGAACUGCAUUUGUGACUGCAUCGCUGGAGUGCGGCAGAGGGGGAUGGAAUUCCGCGUGUAGCAGUGAAAUGCGUAGAUAUCUGGAGGAACACCGGUGGCGAAGGCGACAUCCUGGACCGGUAUUGACGCUGAGGCGCGAAAGCCAGGGGAGCAAACGGGA